rnacentral:snRNA from 1 species
GAACAUAAUAACUGAAGAGAAAC